UGAGGUGGGGCCAGGGAGGGGAGAUGGUGGCGGAGGUUUGAUCUCCACGUAGCUGCCAGCGACCUCCUGUUCUCGGAAGGUAGGAGGAGCUCAGAGCAGGGAGCAGAGCGACCUGUACUUCCAUGAUGAAAGACAGUCAUCGCAGGGAGCAGAAUGUCCAGGAAGGAGGGAGGGAGGGAGACCAAGGAAGGAGGAGGCUCCUCCUUCACUCGCGUCCUCAGGUCCCAUGUACGCCACGUGGGUGGGAGCGUGUCACACACACCCACGCGCCCACAGCCACACUCGCCGCGCUCCCGCCCGGGCCGGGCCCAUCUCGGCGAGCCUGUGGGCGCCGGGCCUCAGCCGGCCACGCCGCCGCCACCUGCUGCUGCGUCCCCAGUGAGGGGGAAGGAGCAUCUCCGUGCCUCCCCCCUCCGCUUCCCGCCCGGCGCCGGCCCCCACCGGCCCCCACCGGCCCCGGCCGGGCUGAGGCCACGUCUUCCCCGGGGCCCCCUCUCCAGCGCUGAGGGGGAGGCGGUGGGAGGGAGGAGCUCCGGCCGCAGCCGCCCGCCCUCCCCUCCCCGACGCUCCCCCUCCCCUCCCUUCCCUUCGGCUGCCGCAGCCCCGUUCGUGGCGCGCGUCAGCUUGGGCUCCCCGGAGCGAGUCGCUAGGUAACGGGGCUGGCUCCGCAGACCCGCGGCCGGGGAAGCCCGCGCGCGCCGUCAGCAGCCGCGCCGCGGGGCGCGGGCGGCGACGCACGGACCCUCCCGCAUCCCGGCCGCAGACCCCGACUCGCCCGCGGCCCCCCUCCCAGGAUGCCUUAACCGGCGCGGAUCGCCACCGCCCAGGUGCCCCUCCCUCGCAGGGACCCCGACGCCGCCGGCCCCCUCCUCCUUCCCAGCCGGUGCGCACCGCUCUGCGCGCGGCCGGGUGGGCGCCCCACCGCCGCGGUCACCGUCGCCGCCGAUCCUCCCGCCGAGCCCCUGCGCGGGGCAUGAGGAGCCCCGGGGCGCCGCCCGGAGACGACCCGGCUGCGCGCACACCUCGCCAGCGGCGGACGGGGACAUGAGCGGCGCGCGCGGGGUCCGGCGCCCGGCGGCCAGCCCCAGCCGGCGGCGGCCAGCGGGUCAGCGCUGCCCGGGAGAAUGAGGCAGGAGCCCGCGGCAGCCUCCUCCUUCUUCUCCUCUUCCUCCUCCUCCUCCUCCUCUUCGCCUUCCUUCGGCUCCGGCGCCUCGGGCCCGGGCCGGGCUGUGGCUCUGCUGCGUGCCCCGCGCGCCCCCCGCCCGCCUCCGGAUGCGCUGCUCGAUUCCUGCUCUGUGUACGCUGACCAGGCCUUUACGGAGAGUCCCCGCAGGCGGGAGGAUGACGGUACACAAGGUGUUCCUUGCCUUCAGCUGACCCCGAGACCGUCGGGAACCGUGUCGUGUAACCACCUGUAGCUCGUUAGAGUGGUCGGCGCGCCUGAGCAGAGGUUAGCCUGGGGCGGAAGAUAAAGACAUUUGCCACCAAGAUGGUAAUCACGAGUGGAAAUGAUGAGGACAGAGGAGGCCAGGAGAGAGAGAGUAAGGAAGAGAGCGUCUUGGCGAUGCUGGGGAUCAUCGGGACCAUUCUGAACCUGAUUGUUAUCAUAUUUGUAUACAUAUACACCACUCUGUGAAUGGCUCAGAGGGUGCUGAGGGGCCUCGGGGAUGGCCGAGUGACGGGAGUCCUGUGUGUCGGCAGGUGACUGAUCGGACGCUGCCGUGCAAGCGAGCAGGCCUGACCUACACACGCUGCUCAAGCAAAUGCACCUUCGAACUGUAGAAGAGGUCACAAAAACAAACCACUCCUGCUACGAAGAGCAGACACUAAAGCACAAUGAACCCAACAAAACUCAUUCACACGACAAGGAACUCAACGUCUUUGGCCCGGGGCCCGAAAGAACACUCAGAAGACCAGCCUUUGACGCCAUGGGUGAGCGGAUGGGUGCAGAAACUCCUCAUCCCGGGUCUCUGAUGGAUUUCACGCAUUGGAAAGGAGGAACAGGGAGGGCGAGGCUCAUCGGUGUGUCUCCUGGGACACGGGCUUCACCUUAACUCGACGACGAGCCGUUCGGGACGAGAAACCACAGGGGCAACCCUCUGACAGAAUCCCAUCCAUCAAAAGUGGCUAACUAUUUGAUACUGGGGAGAUAACUUAUUUUUCUUUUUUCAUUGGCUUGACGUGUGUAUCUGUUCAUAUCAACGUUUAUAAAUAUAUAUUUUUAAUAAAUGUGCUCUAUUUUUUAGCAUGAACCAAAUAUUUGGAGAGGCGCUCCUCGAGUCCUCGAGCUUUCGUUGGUUUUAUCUGCUUCGCCCCGUAGACUGCAGGUGUUGUGUGGCAUAGCCGUUCUAGUCCUGCUUCGAACAUCUUGACUCUUUUCCCUUCCCCCCCUCUCUCUCUUUCUCUCUCUCUGUCUCUCUCUCUCUCUCUUUGGUCUGGAGGACAUUUUUCCAUAGUACCAGCCCUGAUCCUGGUGGAUGCAUGUUUUAAGAUUGUCCGAUGAGCGGCUUUUUGUUGUUAUAUGGGAGAUCUAAAACGAUUGUGGGCAUGUGGACCUCAGUCGCACCAUAUCCUUACUGAGAAUUUUGCAUGAACGAGGACUGAGCGAUAGAUCAGCUUCGAAAAAAGUAAAAAGGACUGUCAUUGAAGAGGAGAGGGCAGCUACGUUCACAGAUCAAUUCUAGGACGGAAUCGUCGGCUUCUUAUUGCCAGCAUUAUUUUUUCAUUCUGGUGACAUCGAUCAGAUUUUUAUUUUAGCGGCCACAUACCGUGCACGUUAGGGAGAACGAGGAGGGAAGGCCAGCACAGGGGCAUAAUUCCUUCCUUAGUUAGCGAGCUGCCUGGGACCUUUUUCAGAGGAGGUGGGGUGUAAAUGGCACGUGGGCUGUCCAGCGUGAGAGCUCACGUGGCUCUUUCGGGCUCUGCAAGGACACCCCCGUGACAGGUGACUUUUUAAGGGCACUAGAAGGGGAUGCAGCGAUCACCCGAAAAGAUCGCUGUGCUUCCUAAAGCUCCUGGUUUACAGCCACACAAAGCUACUUCCUCCCUGGUAGGGAUGGGUGAGUAUAUACAAAUUUGCCCUCUGCUCCUGGCUCCCUGAGAAGGGCCUUUGCCUGGCUGUGGCGACAUACCCUGACAAAGAGGGUCACGGUUCCUUUUGCCGGUGCCAGACUUGCCCGUGGACGAAAGAAGCAGCAGCUCGCCUAGUUGGGUUCAAAUGAUGCCCAGGAGGUCGCUACCGCCAGAUCUCUCCCUCCCCUUGUGGUGGUGUCUGAAAUUCCACCAUUAGAGAGUCACUUCUUGUGCUCUUUUAAGGGACCAGGUUCUUUUAUAAAGCAGAUGCCCCCAAGCACCUGACUCUGACGGUAUUCAUCAGGUGUCUUCUCUUCCCUCCCAGAAGGAAGUAGACAUGCAUUUAGGGCACACUGUGUGCCAGAGACUUUAUAUUCCUUAGGUCACUGAAAUCCCCCUAUAACCCUGUAAUCCCCCUGCGAGAUGGGAGGGGCUCUUUUCCCACCAUUUGUAAUAGAAAGAGCUCCGAGAGAUCAGGAAACUUCCCCGAGAUCAGGUGGCUGAAUCUGCCCAGAUCUGCCCGAUUCCUCAGCCCAGUGAGGGCUGCGGGGCUGCUAGAGAGAGAGAUGAUGCACAGGAGGGGAAGGCACAAGAAAGAAAGGGCCCUCAGGGUCAUUCACAAACCCGAUGGCUUUGUGAAAGUCCAGUUCUGCACAUCUCACCCCCCCCUUCCUCCAUAAAAAUAAAUAACCCUUGGGAACUCCUUGGACACUGGCAGAAUAUCAUACAAGUAAGGACGAGGGACAAGAGGAGUCUGGUUGGGAAUAAAAUGGGCUGUCAGGGGGAGGGAGCCAUCUACCAGGUUGUGUGUGAUUCUGGAAAGACUGUAUGAAAAUUCUGAACAGUGAACAGAGUAAACAAUAAAGGUGCAAUGGAUUAAAAAAAUACUA